UACGUAGGGUGCGAGCGUUAAUCGGAAUUACUGGGCGUGAAGCGUGCGCAGGCGGUUUUGUAAGUCAGAUGUGAAAUCCCCGAGCUCAACUUGGGAACUGCGUUUGAAACUACAAGGCUAGAAUAGGUCAGAGGGGGGUAGAAUUCCACGUGUAGCAGUGAAAUGCGUAGAGAUGUGGAGGAAUAUCAAUGGCGAAGGCAGCCCCCUGGGGUCAUAUUGACGCUCAUGCACGAAAGCGUGGGGAGCAAACAGG
rnacentral:rRNA from 1 species